AAGUCGUAACAAGGUUUCCGUAGGUGAACCUGCGGAAGGAUCAUUACUGAGUGGCUCGGUCGUUCGCGACCGGUUACCCGACCUCAUGUCAUAUGUUGAUCCGGGGGGUGGUUACCCGACGAUGUGGGGUCUUGGCGUCCGAAACUCUCGAGAGGGAGGGACGGGGGCGGGGCCGCGCGCACGGGCGAUCUCCUGCCGGUGGUAUAAACUUCGGCGGAAGUGGUAGGCCUGGACCUGCCCGCCGCCGGCCGUAUUCCCAACUCUUGUGAGAAUGUGAAGUCUGACGCAAAACAAGAAACGAAGAAAAGCAAAACUUUCAACAACGGAUCUCUUGGCUCUGGCAACGAUGAAGAACGCAGCGAAACGCGAAAGGUAAUGCGAAUUGCAGAAUCAGUGAGUCAUCGAAUUUUUGAACGCACAUUGCGCCUCUCGGUAUUCCGGGAGGCACGCCUGUUCGAGCGCCAUCACACACCCCAAGCCGUGCUUGAUGUUGGACGAUGUCUUCCGCGACCUCCUCUCUCUAUCUGGGAGGGGAGUGGGGAGACACGCCUGGAACGCGUGGGCGCCGCCGCCGGACCACGAGCGUAGCAAGACGCAAGUCAUUUCGCUCGGUCGGAUUCCGUCGGACGGUCUCGCCGAAUACCCACAGACAUGAACGUUUGGCCUCGGAUCAGGCGGGGAUACCCGCUGAACUUA
rnacentral:rRNA from 1 species